rnacentral:rRNA from 1 species
CCUACGGGUGGCAGCAGUAGGGAAUCUUCCGCAAUGGGCGAAAGCCUGACGGAGCGACGCCGCGUGCAUGAAGAAGGUCUUCGGAUCGUAAAACGCUGUUGUUAGAGAAGAAAGAGCGUGAGAGUAACUGUUCACGUCUCGACGGUAUCUUACCAGAAAGCCACGGCUAACUACGUGCCAGCAGCCGCGGUAAUACAUAGGUGGCAAGCGUUAUCCGGAUUUAUUGGGCGUAAAGGGAACGCAGGCGGUCUGUUAAGUCUGAUGUCAAAGCCUGCGGCUUAACCGGAGUACUGCGUUGGAAACUGGGAGACUUGAGUGCAAAAGAGGAGAGUGGAAUGUGAUGUGUAGCGGUGAAAUGCGUAGAUAUAUGGCAGAACACCAGUGGCGAAGGCGGCUCGCUGGUCUGUCACUGACGCUGAGGUUCGAAAGCGUGGGUAGCGAACAGGAUUAGAUACCCGAGUAGUC